rnacentral:misc_RNA from 1 species
AUUUAAUGUCAGCAGCCAUGUCUUUCAUGAGAGCCAGAAUGAACGAUAUUGUACACCAACCAAACUUUACCUCUCUACCCAAAGACAUCAUGGUGGAAAUUAUUCAGAGCAUGACUGAAAAAAUGUCCCUCACCGACUAAAAACAGGAAAUAAGAUACAUAUUUUCCUUGCACACACAAACUUAUCUUGGCUACGGUAAAUGAAUGACUUUUGAUGACAUACAAUCUACUUGUGUAUCCAGUACUGUUUUAUAGAGAACUUAAAAAUAUUCGAUUUAAUAUUCAGCUCAAUUUUGGCUGUACUGUAUGUCACCGUGCCAGUGACUGCAGUUAUACUCAUUUAUUUACACGGUGUUCAACUUAAGGAAAACAACUUACAAGGGGGGGGGGGGGUCUACAACUUAGACCAUUGUUUGAGAAAAGGUUAUGAUAAACACUUAUUUUCAACUUUACCUCAACCAUUGGCAGCUUCUCUAUAUUGCUAUGGAUUUGGUCGCACUAGCUUUUGAAGUGAAAUUGCAGUCUUUGUUUUAGUUUUUUUGUCUGUGCUUGGGUUUUUGUUGAUGUUUUUACAGUAAAUGAUUUCUUAUAUUUUAUAUUUCAACAAAUUUAUUGUUUAAAUAUUUUGAGAAUGCCUUUUAAAAUCAAAAGAAAAAAAGUGAAAUGCCUUAUAAAUGCAAGGCACUGUAGCGCAUUUUAUAUAUUGUUGUACAAUCACUUGUAUACUUUUACCAACUUUUAUUACACCUUGUCUACUCAGGAAACUACGAGGUCUUUUCAAAUUAUAUCCAAUUCUAUGUGAUGAUAUUUUAUACCUAUACAUAUGUAUAUAUACAUUCUAUUUCUACACUGUAUUGGAAUUUGUGCUCUGGACUAUUUUUAGGUAUUACUAAAUGUGAUCAUUUGUAAACAUAUUAAUGUAGAUGAUUUACAAAGUUUGAAAUUCUUAAAAGGACAAUUUGUUAAUCCUUUUUUAAUGGAAUGUUUAAGAAACUUUGUUAAUUAGUUUGGCUUUGACCACCGUUUAGUUGUUGACAAUAUUUAUAGAUUUGUUUGAAUGAUUUACUAGUAUAUGUGUUGUUAUUGGUCUAUGACUUUUUAGUCACUAUUGUCUAUAUCAGACGAAGGACAAUCAAGAUUUCUGUGAUAUCUAACCCUAUUGUAGUAUAUUUAUUUUUAAUUUGAUUACAGACUUUUUAUUACAUUUUAAUACAUAAAGAAUUUUCUGCUAUUCCAAAUGCACAUUUACCUUUCCAAUUUGUAAUCAAUUACAAAAUUAUUAGAUUGCAUCUCUUAUAUUGAGGUAAAUAUCAUUCCUGAUAUACUAGUAUAUGGCCCCUUUUAAUUGUUUUGAUUAUGCUAAACUUUUUUUUUUCUUAUAUCUAAUUUACUCAUGAGAAUAAUAAAAUCGCUGAUACGU